AUUGAACGCUGGCGGCAGGCCUAACACACGCAAGUCGAACGAGUGGCGGACGGGUGAGUAAUGUCUGGGAAACUGCCUGAUGGAGGGGGAUAACUACUGGAAACGGUAGCUAAUACCGCAUACCAUCAGAUGUGCCCAGAUGGGAUUAGCUCGUUGGUGGGGUAAAGUCUCACCAAGGCGACGAUCCCUAGCUGGUAUGAGAGGAUGACCAGCCACACUGGAAGUGAGACCCGGUCCAGACUCCAACGGGAGGCAGCAGUGAGGAAUAUUGCACAAUGGGCGCAAGCCUGAUGCAGCCAUGCCGCGUGUAUGAAGAAGGCCUUCGGGUUGUAAAGUACUUUCAGCGGGGAAGCGUUACCCGCAGAAGAAGCACCGGCUAACUCCGUGCCAGCCGCCGCGGUAAUAC
rnacentral:rRNA from 1 species